UACGUAGGGGGCGAGCGUUGUCCGGAAUCAUUGGGCGUAAAGCGCGUGUAGGCGGUUCAGUAAGUCUGCUGUGAAAGUCCAGGGCUCAACCCUGGGAUGCCGGUGGAUACUGCUGAACUAGAGUGCGGAAGAGGCGAGUGGAAUUCCCGGUGUAGCGGUGAAAUGCGUAGAGAUCCGGAAGAACACCGGUGGCGAAGGCGGCCUGCUGGGCAGUUGCUGACGCUGAGGCGCGACAGCGUGGGGAGCAAACAGG
rnacentral:rRNA from 1 species